GGCUAGUCUUCGCUCAGCAACGGCUUCGUUUCCCCUCGGCGGCAGCAAACAUUAAAACACCGGGGUCCGGCGGAGCGCUGCAGCCACCCCGACCUGAGCAAUCACUUGUUAUCCGUCUUUAAAAGAUGCCACCCCUGUGUUGCUAUUUGCAAGCAUGGAUCGAAGAGGCCAAAGGCACGUAAUGAGAGUAAGAAACCAUAGCAGAGGGGCCUGAGGAAGAGGAGUGGAGGAGCAGCAGCAAGAAGAGAAAAUACAGCUCAAAUUUCAAGUGAAAUUCGGGCAACAGUUACUGACCAUGCCAUCAAUCAAGGCUUGUCCUUUAGAAAGCCUGGACAAAGAGUCCAGCCCAUUCUGAGUCGGAGCACUGUGGCAUCUGUCGUCUGACUUUUGGAAUGAGAACAGAAUCCACAUACUGCCACACACUGGUGGCAGAGGAAAGACCUUUAGUGCUUUACAGGAGGCCGCCAUUGUAGAUAUGGUCAUGGCAAGCAAUGUGAUCAGACUGCAUGAAAUCCAGGCAGCAGUAAUUGCAGAUCAGGGAGCACUUAGAAAUAUCAACAUGAUGAGUUUUGACUGAGUAUUGACUGAGUCCCUACACAAAACCAUGUCGGAAUGAAGCAGCUGUACAGAGAUCCAUUCCAAGGAAACUCUAACAAGACUCCAGUAUGUGCAGAAUAAUGGAGCUCGAAUCUCAAGAGGCAAAACACAUAUUUAUUUAUGUGGAUGAAGUCGGCUUCAAGCUCUCUAAAGUGAAGGGACGCGGAAGGAACAUCGUUGGGCAGAGGGCCACUGUUACAAUGCCAGGUCAGAGGGGCGCCAAUAUCACCAUGUGUGCUGCCAUCUCCGAUGAUGUUGUCCUUUGCCACGUAACAACUGUCGGCCAAAACAAUACAGAAUGCACAUUUCUUGACGCGCUGAAUGAAAGACUGGUACCACCUGAGGAGAGAGGGCUGCUGACGCCUGGCAUGACUCUGUAUGUCAUCAUUCGGGACAAUGUUGCCUUCCACCGCUCUCGCCUUGUGAAUGAAUGUUUUGCAUCACAGCCCCGUGUGAUGAUGUAGUUCCUCCCUGCAUAUUCUCCUUCACUGAACCCAAAUGAGGAAUUCUUCUGUGUUUGGAGAUGGAAGGGAUAUGAUCACCGGCCAUAUAACCAGAUGUCCCUCCUAGAGGGAAUGAAUGCUGGUUGCUUGGCAAUAGGUGCAGAGGACUGCCAGGGGUG